GACGAACGCUGGCGGCGUGCUUAACACAUGCAAGUGGAGCGACGAACCAGGGCUUGCCCUGGGGCAGAGCCGCGAACGGGUGAGUAACACGUGGGUAACCUACCUCGAUGACCGGGACAACCCGAGGAAACUCGGGCUAAUACCGGAUGUGCUCCGUCCUCUCAAGGGGACUGAGUAAAGAUAGCUUUCGCCUUCGCAUCGAGACGGGCCCGCGGCCCAUUAGCUUGUUGGUGAGGUAACGGCUCACCAAGGCUGCGAUGGGUAGCUGGUCUGAGAGGACGAUCAGCCACACUGGGACUGAGACACGGCCCAGACUCCUACGGGAGGCAGCAGUGGGGAAUCUUGCGCAAUGCGCGAAAGCGUGACGCAGCAACGCCGCGUGGGGGAAGAAGGCCUUCGGGUUGUAAACCCCUUUCAGUUGGGACGAAGCUUCGAGGGUUAAUAGCUCUCUGGAGUGACGGUACCUUCAGAAGAAGCCCCGGCUAACUACGUGCCAGCCGCCGCAGUAACAC
rnacentral:rRNA from 1 species